rnacentral:rRNA from 1 species
CCUACGGGAGGCAGCAGUGGGGAAUAUUGGGCAAUGGAGGAAACUCUGAUCCAGCAACGCCGCGUGAAGGAUGAAGGUUUUCGGAUUGUAAACUUCUGUCGCGAGGGAAGAAGAAUGCAGUAACUUCGUAAGAAAGCCCCGGCAAACUACGUGCCAACAGCCGCGGUAAUACGAAGGGGGCGAGCGUUUCCCGGAAUGACUGGGGGUAAGGGGAGAGUAGGCGGCAGAGUAAGUUAUGUGUGAAAGCCCGGGGAUCAACCGCGGAAUUGCACAUAAAACUGGUAAGCUGGAGUGCAGGAGAGGUAAGUGGAAUUCCCGGUGUAGCGGUGGAAUGCGUAGAUAUCAGGAGGAACACCAGAGGCGAAGGCGGCUUACUGGACUGUAACUGACGCUGAGGCUCGAAAGCGUGGGGAGCAAACAGGAUUAGAUACCCCAGUAGUC